GGGAAGAGCUGUGGCUCAGUGGUAGAGCACAUGCUUUUCAUUCAGAAGGCCGCAGGUUCAAUCCCUGGCCUCUCCA